AGUGUUUUACUUCAUUUACAUUAUGUAUUUUAUAAGAUAAUAUUACUUUAUGAUGACAUUUAUACAUUCUGCGUGACAUCUGCUUGCUUUAAUGGGCGCACACUGAACAUUCAAGUCUGGAGCGGAAGGAGUUACCAUGGAAAUGGGGCGGAAACUCAACUGUCGAGCAGCAAAACACAUCUUCCACUGUUGUUUUCACAAAUUUCAGAAAUGGUUUAUUGUCUUCAGAAAAAGUCUGUUAGCAUCUGAACUGUAAUGCUAACUAUAAGAGGCAAUUUGUCAUUGGAUGAAAGGAAGUAAGCUAAUUUAUUUAACCUAGAAGUAUGCAAUAUACGGUUAAUCGGAUACAAAAUUAACAUGGAGCGUGAAAAUGAGCUGAAAGUACUUUAAGCAUGUUUUGACCUUUCAUGGUAAACAAAUAUUGAUUCCACUUGUCCUGUGACUUCAGCAGUUUCAGAAAAAAACUUCUACGACACAGGAAAAGUUCCUGAUUUUAAAAUUUCUGAAGAGAGCUGCUGACAGAGAUAUAAAAAACACAGAAUCUUCCAUUCUAAUGGCCGUGCACCAGAGUUGGAGCGUAUCUCCUGUCGAAGAACAUCUCUAGACAUUAUGAACCAUAUGACCAAGACUGAAAAUCAUCAAUAAAACACAAGUGGAUUGAUAGCUCCAACACCAAUUAAGCAGACCUGAGCAGCUGAUCAAGGAUCACCAGAAACUCUGCAGAACUUCAGUACCUAGUCCUCAAUAAGUCCUCAAUAACCAGCACUGGAAACCAGAGUUAUGCUGGAGAAAAAGCAGCCAGGCUGAAGCAUUUAAAGUGGAAACUUUUGUCGUGGCUCAAAAAUCCAGGAUUGGGAUGGUGGAAGGAGCAGAAGAUCCAGAAGACCAGAGAUCAGGCAGAGAUCUACUGAUGCCCCUGAGGGAACUGUUUAACUAAUGUGUUAGGUUAAACCAAAAAUUUUCAGCACUCACCUUCAUGUCUUUCCAAACCUGUGAAACUUUUGGAAAGGUAGUAAAGACAGCA